GGUGGCUCAGUGGUAGAGUGCUUGCCUUUCAUGCCUGAGGCCCUGGGUUUGAUUCCCCAGCACCA
rnacentral:tRNA from 1 species